GCAGCCCUGCUGGGGCCUUUAUUUUCUACUCCUGUCUGUGGGGUUUUCUGGGCAUCGAUGGCUGGUCCUCAGGACUGUCCUCCAGGGACAGGCUGGCCGGGAGGGGACGAGAGCUGGGUGCCUUAGGGAUUUCAGAGCCUCCUGAUUUUCUGAUGCUUUUCUAAAACUGGAAUAGUGCCAGCAUGUCCGGGGCAGUAACUGAGCCCCUGAAGAGGGGCUGGAGGCUGGACAGGCCAUGUGUGGGUGAGUUGCCGGGACCCCCAUGGCCACAGGACAGUGUGGCUGUGGCAGGAGAGGUCUCGCUAUCUGGAUCCUGGUGUCGGCUCACGAGUGUGUGUGGGCAGCUGUGUUUGGAGUGCCACAAGAGUGCCACACAGAGAGCGCGCCGUGAAAGACUUUUUUCGGAAUGAGGAGUGGUGUUCUGUGCUUACAAUUCUUGGUCAACUGCAAGGACUAGGCGCCUAGGAAGGGCAGGCCUGGGGCCACCGAGCUCGGCUCAGUGCGGGCAGCUUCUGGGAGAAGACAGCUUGCUCCCUGUGACAGGCGCGAUAACUAUCAAAGGACAGGGUGUGUCUGAAGUGGCUCCUGAGAAAAAUAAUUAAGACCACUGAGACUUUAAAAUGUGAGAGAUUUUCGAGCAUGCCAAACUUUUUAAUCCUAUCAGUCAAUUAGCAAGCAUGAAUCAUGUCUUUCUGGAGUAGAUACAGGACAUAGCAACACGGUGUUGUGGCCCCCCUACCCAGAGCUGAGUUCUGACAGUAAUGAAUUAGUUUACUUUUUAUUUAAUUCAGCUAUUCUGGAAGUGGUGUUGUGGAGUUGGCCAGGGGGCGGCGUGUGGGGCCGGACACCUGCACCAGGUGGCCGGAAACAGGUCACAGGGACGGUCUAUUUCGGGAAACAAGUAAACAGACUUGGCAAAUUUAUAGCUUAUGGUUAUGAAGAAAUGGUUUUCGGGAGGUUUUGCUCAGCCCUGCGAGUCUCAAAAACAACACCUGCAUAAUUUGCAUUUCUAAAAUAAGACCGAGAUGCUGGCAGAAGCUGGAACAGUUCCUCUUUUAACGAUUUGAAUUUAAUUCUUCAGUCUUCGCUUGCCAACAUCUCAUUUAUACUCAUUUUGAAACUAAGACAUGUAAGAAAUGAGAAGUCUGGGGGACAGUUUAUCAAUGCAUUCAUGUUAACUUUUUAAAUUAGUUAUUUCCUCAAACAGUCAUUAAUCUCAAACAUUUUCUAACACCCCGAAGCAUUGUUUUCAUAAUUACUGUGUUCUAAAUAUUUUAAGUUGGUUGAUUUUCUCUUCGUGAUUAAGAAGCAUUUAGAUAUCCUGAUAAAGUGGCCUUCAUUCAUGUCAGCACUUUCAAGACUGCUUUUUGAGCACUCUUGUUGGGACAUGUUUUAGGCGAAGCGUGUGUGCUGAUUGUCCUGAAUGAUUUCAGUGAAGAGUGUUGGUUGUUGGAGUAAGAGGAAGCCCAGUCAGGUCUCGAAUCAGAAAGGAAUUCAGGUCGGCUCCUGAGCUGAAGGAGCCCCAGUGGAGGGUCCACCUGCCCCCCCGCCCCCCCGGGGCUGCCGUGGCUUCUGCCAACUGGCUAUUCAUCAAAGAGCCAAUUUUAAUGGAUUUGGAGGAAUUCUUCAAUACCAAAGACCCCACGGGACUGUCUGGUGACCAGGGAGCCAAAAUGCCUCCGGAGAAGCACUGCACGUGUUCCCCUUGGUCUCGGGGUGUCAAGCCCCGAAAGAAGGCGACCCCGUAGUCCUGGCCUGCUUGGCAAGAGGAUACUCCCGAGAGUCAGUGCAGGUGACCUUGGUUUCGGGGAAGCAGGACCAGGCCACAAAGACCAAUCUCUUCAUGCUGAAGGCACAAGACAACGUUGAGCUGUCCUUCCUGACCGCCCGGUGGAAGCCAGACCCCCACCAGUGCAGCACCGCCAGCGGCAAGCUGCAGAAGGCCUUCCGGUGGCCAGCAUCUUGGGAAACUAAGACCCCCCUGUCGACUCUUGGGCCAACCCCAUCAGAGGACUCCACCACAGUGCCCAGCACUGCCAGGGUCUCAGCGCCUUCCACCAGCCACACCCAGGCGCAAACCAGAGAGCCGGAAAGGCCAGCGGACGCCAGUCUCAGAGAGUGUCGGAACCACACCAGCCCUCCCAGCCUCUACCUGCCACAGCCUCCCCUGCAGGGCCCAUGGCUCAAGGGACAGGCCACCUUCACCUGCCUGGCAGUGGGGGCUGGCCUUCAGGAGGCCCGCUUGUCCUGGGAGGUGGCCGGGGCGCCCCUGCACGCGGGGGUGGACAGUGGGCCGCUGGAGGAGAGUGCCAAUGGUUCCCAGAGCCUGAGAAGCCGCCUGGACUUGCCCGUGGCCUCCUGGGCCUCGGGAGCCAACAUCACCUGCACGCUGAGCGGCCCGGACGUGCCUUCCCAAGUGGUGUCCGCAGCUCCCAAGGAACACGCUGCCUCUGCGCCCAGCAGCCUCACGGUCCACGUCCUGACUGUGUCCAGAGCAGCCUCCUGGCUCCUGUGCAAGGUGUCCGGCUUCUCGCCCCCAGACGUCCUCCUCACCUGGCUAAGGGACCAGGUCCAGGUAGACUCUGCUUCCUUUGCCACUGCACCCCCCGCAGCUGAGCUGGGGAGCAGCACCUUCGAGACCUGGAGCGUCCUGCACAUCCACACGGCCCAGGCCCCUCGCCCGGACACCUACACGUGUGUGGUCCGGCACGAGGCCUCCCGAAGGUUGCUCAACGCCAGCUGGAGCCCAGACACGGCCAUGGCCUCCUUGAGGGUGUCUUCCUGCCGGCCGUGCCCGCACAGCCCAGCCUUGCUGCCCAGCACCGGGAUGCGUGCGCUUCCAGUGAGGAUGUCACAGAUAGCGAAGGCAGCGUGGCAAGCGGGAACAGCAGGACGGCGCCACACGCACUUUAUUAACCAGCUUUAUUUAAAGUCACUGAAGAGCUGAGGGCUCAGAGAAGCCCAGCUGACCUGGCUCCUGGGCAAGACAACAUUGUUGGCCACGUUACCCCCACCCUGGACACCGACGGACACGGUUACAUUACCCCCACCCUGGGCACAGGCCGACAGAGGUGUUGGCAUCCAGGGAGGAGAGAGGCCUGAGGGAAUCAGUCAAGGCUUUAACAUCCACAUGGGCUGACAUGAGGCAUAAGAGUAGGGAUGAGCCCCAACUGUGUCCCCUCCACCACUGACUGCCCCAGACAGGACCUGUGCUCAGAGCUGGGACAGAUCUGCAGUCCUGCAUGGUGCUUGGACUCUGAAGCCCAGUGGAGGGCCCUGACCCACCCCAAACAUCGGAGUUGAAGCCAACUGUCCUGACAUCCCACCGGCUCAAGUCCUGAUUCGAUAGACCACGUGUGCCC